rnacentral:rRNA from 1 species
GACGAACGCUGGCGGCGUGCUUAACACAUGCAAGUCGAACGGAAAGGCCCUGCUCUUGCGGGGCGCUCGAGAGGCGAACGGGUGAGUAACACGUGUGUAUCACGUCCCUGUCUUUCGGAUAACUCCUGGAAACAGGGGCUCAUACCGCAUAUGAGCUUUUGCUGCAUGUUGUGGGAUGGAAAGUUUCGGCGGUUGGGGAUGGACUCGCGGCUUAUCAGCUUCUUUGUCGGGUAGUGGCUUACCAAGCCUAUGAAGGAUAGCCGGCCUGAGAGGGUGACCGGCCACAUUGGGACUGAGGUACGGCCCAGACUGCUACGGGAGGCAGCAGGGGAGAAUAUGGCACAAUGGGCGGAAGCCUGAGGCAGCAACGCCGCGUGCGGGAUGACGGGUUUCUAGUUGUAAACCGCUUUCGCCUGAAACGAGGCGUGAGUGACGGUAAUGGGUAAGGAAGCAACGGCUAACUACGUG